UAUUCUGAAAUUGACAGACUAAAGCAAGUUGGUUAUUUUUUCUCAUUGGUCAAUGAUCAGAAAUUGUGUGAACUUGAGAAGUUUGAGGAGUGUACUGCCUAUGAAGAAAAACAACUACUGGAGAAAGUGGCAGAAAUGCUAGCAAGUUCAAAUGCUAGAAAGAAACAAUUGGUUCAAAUAGCAGUCAAUGGGC